GGAGUAUAGCUCAAGUGGUAGAGCAUGAGCUUUGCAUGCAUGAGGUUCUGGGCUCAAUCCCCAGUACCUCCU
rnacentral:tRNA from 1 species